GGUUAAGCGACUAAGCGUACACGGUGGAUGCCCUGGCAGUCAGAGGCGAUGAAGGACGUGCUAAUCUGCGAUAAGCGUCGGUAAGGUGAUAUGAACCGUUAUAACCGGCGAUUUCCGAAUGGGGAAACCCAGUGUGUUUCGACACACUAUCAUUAACUGAAUCCAUAGGUUAAUGAGGCGAACCGGGGGAACUGAAACAUCUAAGUACCCCGAGGAAAAGAAAUCAACCGAGAUUCCCCCAGUAGCGGCGAGCGAACGGGGAGCAGCCCAGAGCCUGAAUCAGUGUGUGUGUUAGUGGAAGCGUCUGGAAAGGCGCGCGAUACAGGGUGACAGCCCCGUACACAAAAAUGCACAUACUGUGAGCUCGAUGAGUAGGGCGGGACACGUGGUAUCCUGUCUGAAUAUGGGGGGACCAUCCUCCAAGGCUAAAUACUCCUGACUGACCGAUAGUGAACCAGUACCGUGAGGGAAAGGCGAAAAGAACCCCGGCGAGGGGAGUGAAAAAGAACCUGAAACCGUGUACGUACAAGCAGUGGGAGCCUCUUUAUGGGGUGACUGCGUACCUUUUGUAUAAUGGGUCAGCGACUUAUAUUCUGUAGCAAGGUUAACCGAAUAGGGGAGCCGAAGGGAAACCGAGUCUUAACUGGGCGUUAAGUUGCAGGGUAUAGACCCGAAACCCGGUGAUCUAGCCAUGGGCAGGUUGAAGGUUGGGUAACACUAACUGGAGGACCGAACCGACUAAUGUUGAAAAAUUAGCGGAUGACUUGUGGCUGGGGGUGAAAGGCCAAUCAAACCGGGAGAUAGCUGGUUCUCCCCGAAAGCUAUUUAGGUAGCGCCUCGUGAAUUCAUCUCCGGGGGUAGAGCACUGUUUCGGCAAGGGGGUCAUCCCGACUUACCAACCCGAUGCAAACUGCGAAUACCGGAGAAUGUUAUCACGGGAGACACACGGCGGGUGCUAACGUCCGUCGUGAAGAGGGAAACAACCCAGACCGCCAGCUAAGGUCCCAAAGUCAUGGUUAAGUGGGAAACGAUGUGGGAAGGCCCAGACAGCCAGGAUGUUGGCUUAGAAGCAGCCAUCAUUUAAAGAAAGCGUAAUAGCUCACUGGUCGAGUCGGCCUGCGCGGAAGAUGUAACGGGGCUAAACCAUGCACCGAAGCUGCGGCAGCGACACUAUGUGUUGUUGGGUAGGGGAGCGUUCUGUAAGCCUGCGAAGGUGUACUGUGAGGUAUGCUGGAGGUAUCAGAAGUGCGAAUGCUGACAUAAGUAACGAUAAAGCGGGUGAAAAGCCCGCUCGCCGGAAGACCAAGGGUUCCUGUCCAACGUUAAUCGGGGCAGGGUGAGUCGACCCCUAAGGCGAGGCCGAAAGGCGUAGUCGAUGGGAAACAGGUUAAUAUUCCUGUACUUGGUGUUACUGCGAAGGGGGGACGGAGAAGGCUAUGUUGGCCGGGCGACGGUUGUCCCGGUUUAAGCGUGUAGGCUGGUUUUCCAGGCAAAUCCGGAAAAUCAAGGCUGAGGCGUGAUGACGAGGCACUACGGUGCUGAAGCAACAAAUGCCCUGCUUCCAGGAAAAGCCUCUAAGCAUCAGGUAACAUCAAAUCGUACCCCAAACCGACACAGGUGGUCAGGUAGAGAAUACCAAGGCGCUUGAGAGAACUCGGGUGAAGGAACUAGGCAAAAUGGUGCCGUAACUUCGGGAGAAGGCACGCUGAUAUGUAGGUGAAGCGACUUGCUCGUGGAGCUGAAAUCAGUCGAAGAUACCAGCUGGCUGCAACUGUUUAUUAAAAACACAGCACUGUGCAAACACGAAAGUGGACGUAUACGGUGUGACGCCUGCCCGGUGCCGGAAGGUUAAUUGAUGGGGUUAGCGGUAACGCGAAGCUCUUGAUCGAAGCCCCGGUAAACGGCGGCCGUAACUAUAACGGUCCUAAGGUAGCGAAAUUCCUUGUCGGGUAAGUUCCGACCUGCACGAAUGGCGUAAUGAUGGCCAGGCUGUCUCCACCCGAGACUCAGUGAAAUUGAACUCGCUGUGAAGAUGCAGUGUACCCGCGGCAAGACGGAAAGACCCCGUGAACCUUUACUAUAGCUUGACACUGAACAUUGAGCCUUGAUGUGUAGGAUAGGUGGGAGGCUUUGAAGUGUGGACGCCAGUCUGCAUGGAGCCGACCUUGAAAUACCACCCUUUAAUGUUUGAUGUUCUAACGUUGGCCCCUGAUCGGGGUUGCGGACAGUGUCUGGUGGGUAGUUUGACUGGGGCGGUCUCCUCCUAAAGAGUAACGGAGGAGCACGAAGGUUGGCUAAUCCUGGUCGGACAUCAGGAGGUUAGUGCAAUGGCAUAAGCCAGCUUGACUGCGAGCGUGACGGCGCGAGCAGGUGCGAAAGCAGGUCAUAGUGAUCCGGUGGUUCUGAAUGGAAGGGCCAUCGCUCAACGGAUAAAAGGUACUCCGGGGAUAACAGGCUGAUACCGCCCAAGAGUUCAUAUCGACGGCGGUGUUUGGCACCUCGAUGUCGGCUCAUCACAUCCUGGGGCUGAAGUAGGUCCCAAGGGUAUGGCUGUUCGCCAUUUAAAGUGGUACGCGAGCUGGGUUUAGAACGUCGUGAGACAGUUCGGUCCCUAUCUGCCGUGGGCGCUGGAGAACUGAGGGGGGCUGCUCCUAGUACGAGAGGACCGGAGUGGACGCAUCACUGGUGUUCGGGUUGUCAUGCCAAUGGCACUGCCCGGUAGCUAAAUGCGGAAGAGAUAAGUGCUGAAAGCAUCUAAGCACGAAACUUGCCCCGAGAUGAGUUCUCCCUGACUCCUUGAGAGUCCUGAAGGAACGUUGAAGACGACGACGUUGAUAGGCCGGGUGUGUAAGCGCAGCGAUGCGUUGAGCUAACCGGUACUAAUGAACCGUGAGGCUUAACCUU
rnacentral:rRNA from 2 species